rnacentral:lncRNA from 11 species
UGUCCCUCCGUAGCAGCAGCCAGCCAGAGUUCCAAUAAAUUUUUGAGUCUGCAAACAGGAGGACUGACUGUAAGACUGUAAGAUUUACUUCUAGCUCUGUGUUGCUACUUUCACCAAUCCCAGAUGGCUGCAGAGCUCCAUGUUCUGAGAUUAGCAGAGCUGCCUAUGCAACCAGGGGGAUCGGAGUGCCUGUGAUGACCAGGAGCUCACAUGAAGCUUUGCAACAAUCUGAGCUACAGAGGCCUAUUUUAUCCAUAUGGGCAAAAG